GUGGCGGACGGGUGAGUAACACGUAGAUAAUCUGCCCUUGGAUUGGGGAUAGCAUAUGGAAACAUAUGGUAAUACCGAAUAAGCUCCUAACUACGCAGGUAGAAUGGAGGAAAGGUGCUUAGGCACCGUCCGGGGAUGAGUCUGCGGCUCAUUAGCUAGUUGGUGGGGUAAAGGCCUACCAAGGCAACGAUGAGUAGCCGGCCUGAGAGGGUGGACGGCCACACUGGGACUGAGACACGGCCCAGACUCC
rnacentral:rRNA from 1 species